rnacentral:rRNA from 1 species
CAGGCUGCAACUCGCCUGCAUGAAGUCGGAAUUGCUAGUAAUCGCGGAUCAGCAUGCCGCGGUGAAUACGUUCCCGGGCCUUGUACACACCGCCCGUCACACCAUGGGAGUCGGUAACACCCGAAGCCAGUAGCCUAACCGCAAGGAGGGCGCUGUCGAAGGCAGGUCUGAUGACUGGGGUGAAGUCGUAACAAGGUAGC